ACCGGAGCUCCUGGGCCGCAUUUCCCUGCAUCUGAUCUUUUGGGGGAGAAGAUAGAACCCUAAGAAACCUUGCAGGCAGCAACAAUUUUCUCCCCUUUCACAAAAGUAACAGUCAGCUUCACUUUUGAGCUAGACUUGGCCCAUGCCUUUCCUCAAAGAGUCCUCCUGGGGCCAUACCUCUCGCUAGUCAUGACACUGAUGAUGGUACUACCCAUCAGUGGUUUUAGAGUCGUCCCCCCCUUGUCUCCAGGAUCUUUAGUUGUAGGUCAGGGACUCUCUCUCAAAAUACCUGAUAUGGGUGCACCAAAAAUGCUUCCUGUAUUUCUAUAGUUGUUGGGGUCCGGGUGCUGAGUCCCAAGCUCCUGGUUCCAAAAGUCUCACAUUGAAAAAUAGCUACCAGGAAGAACGCAAAUAGCUAUCUCUUCUAUUUGGGAAGAGGACAAACACAACGUCGUGGAGCUGUAUAUGUCCACAUUCCUAGAUCGCCGGAGUCUAUUUCCUGAGCCUAGAUUAUGGUUCUGGUCCUGGAGCGAUGCUCUGGUUCCCCAGACCUUCCCUACCUAGGACAGAUGGUAACUAAUCCUCCGUCCCUGGCCAAAGCAAGCUCACAGUGCCCUCUUGUGUCCAAGUGCUGGAAUUUUAAGGCGUUGCCCGAGUUCCAAACUUGUUUUGUUCAGCUGAAGGAAGAGGGUUUUGUGGUUCCUAUUCUCCUUCUUAAAGUACAGACAAUGUCCUCGUGUGUAGCUUUAUAUCUCAAUGAUUUGACAUGAAAACCUUUGGUGUUUUGGGUUUCGGUUUUCCAGUAGUUUCAAAAAAAAAUACGCUUCAAGGGAACAGAAGUUCUCUGAAAAUACUUCUUCAGAACUUAAUAUUGUAUGCCAGGCAUCUCCGUUUAUGUCUAAUAUAUAUGUGGCUAUUGAUAGUGUUAUCCUCUAUCUUACAGAAAAAAGAAGAUACAUCUGUGGAACAUUCCCUCCUCAUUAGUUCGCUGUAGAGUAAGGGGCAGAUAACUAUGAAGAAAGAAACCCAGGGCCAGGCUUCCAGCCACUGGACGUCCUAGUUUCCCAGCAGUUGCUAGAGGGACCAGCAGGAAACCUUGGGCCGCUUAUAAAAGCCGAGUCUCUUAUUUAUUUCAGCUGUUUGUUUGAUUUCUAGAAAAGGAGGCUUAGAGCUCUUGAGUUUAUUGCCCUGGCUAUUCUUGCCCAACUUGUUUGAAAAGUCCAAUCACGCUACUUAAUAGUCCUUUGCUUUCUCAAACACAGCCUCUUCCCCUCCAGGAGCUUCAGGACAUUCAUUUUGUCUCGUUAAUCUUCAGCAAGCCAGUACUAACCGAGUCUGACCCAGAUCAGCUUCCAAGAGCAAACACACCCAGAGAGUGUGAAAUUGGACCUUGACAUUCAGAUCGCCUCUCACACACUUUGGUUUUUCAAGUGACUGUCAUACUCCCAGUCUUAGCCUUAAAGCCCCAAGAUCAUUUACCCCCACGAACCUUGACAAAUAUGUUUACCUUUUGCAAGCUAUUUUUGAUGGAUAAUGCUUUCUUGGAGGUUUUUUUUUUUUUCAUUAAAGAAAAGAAAUUCAAAAAGUAA